rnacentral:lncRNA from 1 species
AGAGUUCUCAGGGAAGCUGGAACACAGCUGUCCGGCAUGGGCACCACCCCCAAUGCAGCCAUAGGCAUGGGCUAUGAGGAGGAAAGGCAGUGGACUUCCUAAGAGGACGUGAAGACGCUAAAAGGGAGAGGACGUGAGCUCUGGUCCUGAGAUGUACCUCUUUCCCAUGCCUAGUGGGCCCUACAACCUGGAAUUGAAGGAAAAGGGACCAGGAGGGACUUUCUUCAUCAAUAAAGAUUUUUAAGAGCU